GAUUGUUGUUGGACCCUACAGAUGUAAUUCUUGAGCUCUAUCUAAACGUGUUUAUAUAUAGGUAUGCUUGCAUUGACACCUAAUCAGAAUAGGUUUUUAGAAUUAAUCUAUAGUUUGUUAACAAAAUUGGUAAGCCAUUGCAGCCAUCUAAUUGGUGGUAUGGUGUGCUUCUGACAGUAUUUCACGGCGUUUGUACCAGCGGCAUAGUAACUAAAAACUACCGUGAACACAGCUUAUUAUUUAUUGUUUCUGGAGGGCCUCACGGAUGAGCUAUUCAUCGGCGGCACCCUGCCAGUCGUUUAGAGGAUCUGCGGGAACAAAUGAACAAGCAGAGUGUCAUAAGUCAGGGACCAGCAUCCAUGCCAACUGCCCGGGAUGACUGCUAAGGCAAUUCAUAUUCUCUCUCAAUCGUCAGCCACCAUAUGAUGUUAAUUGAUCUUGAUCUUCCCCACUCGCCAGUUCUGAAGACACUUCGGAUCUCACAUUAACUUCAUUCAGUCUUUAAGAAUAACCAUAGUAAUAUGCAUCUCAAAGCUAUGGCUCAUGCGCCCAUACAAAAAAGGACAACUGACUAGAUUGAGGAUACGUUAUGGCAAGAAGGCUAUAUAUUCAUGGUGAUCUUAACCCCACUCUUGACUUUUUAACCGAUGCCCAUAGGAAACAUAAUUAGGCAUUUGUAAUCAUGAAAGUUUCUUUCAUCAUGCUUUCCAUAAUAUAGUGAAAUUUGACAACAAAAUUAUUUUCUGUGCUGCUACGUAGUCAAUUCAGUGUGUGUAGAAGAUGUUGUCGUGGGUGUGCAGAGUAUGCGGUGCAUGGCUUCUUGUGUUUGUGUGUGUGUGUUCUUAUAUGUUAAUUGGUGGCUGGUGUGUGUGCGCGCAGGGUGUGAAUGGGGACAAGUAGGCGGCGUGUAUACUACACCAAGGAGCGAUACAUGGCAUGAAGCAAGCAAGCGAGCAGGUGUACACAGCGACCUGCUACUACACUAAUAGCCUUGACAGAGCACCGGGGCCGGCUCGACAGGGCAUUCGGCCGCCGGCGGACCCUGGAUGUGCGCGAUGGAGAUGAACCCCGCGUCGUCGCCUCUGCAGCCUGGAUAGAGCUCCGUCAGUGCUGGUGAUGAACCCCACGUCUGUGCUGGUGAUGGCGCUGUCCAUCUACUUUCUCCACUGGCUGUCAGACAAUAGAGAUCACAUUGUGGAUUUAUGUUUUCUUCAGAGUGUUCUCCCGUCAUUGUUGGAUGUCGAAUUUGUAAGGCAAUCCGUCUCUAUGUCGAUGUCUUAACCACUUCGUACUUCCGCACAAUUAGCAGAACAGAGCAGUUGCCGCAAUUUACCCAUUGAUUUCUUGGACUGAUUCAGACCUAGGAAAGCCUGCUACUUGUGCAAGCAAUAGGAAACCACUUCAACUAGCCUAGGACCAUCUCUGGUCCAACGCGCGAGGUGCCUACCGAGUGCCUCCCCAGCUUAACGGUCCCAAACCUAAGCGAUUAGAUACGAAGUCUACUCAGCAGGAGGAGCAUGAACAGUUGUGAAGGAGAACCCCACUGCCUUGGACCAGGUUGCUGAACCAGAAGCAGAAGGUGCGAGGGGCACUGUUCAGAUCUUUCACAGUAUCUUUAGGAAUGAAGCCAUGAGGAUGCUACCUAUUCUUUCCUUUCAAUUAUCCGGCACUACGAGCUGCAUUAGCUUCACCUCAGGAUGUUGAAAGAGGAAGUAGGAGUUUUCAGAAAUGAUAAUCUACAAACACAGUACAUGUUCGUUGAUUAACGAAGACAAGGGCCCUACAACUCAACUGUUGUAACACCUAUUUUUACAAUGUAGGGUAUGAACUACUUGGCUUUAUUUUUAACUUAUGUACUGAUGUAGAAUGAUGGCUCCUGUUUCUUACUCGCUGGUAUGAGCUUUUUUGUUGUAUUUUGUAAAGCUCAUGUAUUUACUCAUCUAUGCUAACUAGCAUUGCUACAACAUUUGUAUACUCUAAUAAUUAUACUUCCCUUGCCGUUGGCAGGGCUUUUUUUUGUAUAAUUGCUCAUACUUAUCAA